rnacentral:rRNA from 1 species
GAAUAUUGGACAAUGGGGGGAACCCUGAUCCAGCCAUGCCGCCUGUGUGAAGAAGGCCUUUUGGUUGUAAAGCACUUUAAGCGAGGAGGAGGCUACUCUAGUUACUACCUAGAGAUAGUGGAAGUUACUCGCAGAAUACGCACCGGCUCACUCUGUGCAAGCACACGCGGUAAUACAGAGGGUGCAAGCGUUAAUCGGAUUUACUGGGCGUAAAGCGCGCGUAGGUGGCCAAUUAAGUCAAAUGUGAAAUCCCCGAGCUUAACUUGGGAAUUGCAUUCGAUACUGGUUGGCUAGAGUAUGGGAGAGGAUGGUAGAAUUCCAGGUGUAGCGGUGAAAUGCGUAGAGAUCUGGAGGAAUACCGAUGGCGAAGGCAGCCAUCUGGCCUAAUACUGACACUGAGGUGCGAAAGCAUGGGGAGCAAACA